GACACAGAGUACUGAGGAGCAGCCUGUAGUUUUCUGGAUCCCGCUAUCUUUAUUCUGCUCCUCUUGUUAGGUUGUCACUUAUCAAGGGGACAGGACAGAGUAGACGCAUCAGGAACGGUUUUGCUGCGAUUGCCUUUUGAUCCGUAUUUCAAUAAUUAUGAAAAGUUCUGCUGCAGAUUUUACCAAGGUGUUUGUCUUCCUUUUGUGGACAACAGAGGAUAUGCCGGUGACAUCUACAAGGGAAGAAUAUCUCUAAUCGAAUACAACGGAUGUAUGGAUGUGACAAUCUGGAAUAUACAAAAGUCAGACAGUGGACUGUACCGAUGUGCCAUAACUGAUUCACCCUAUCACGUUUACAAGGACUUCAUAGUUGUAAUACCAGACAAUUCCCCGGACCACAACAAGUACUACACCUGCUCCUGUGGACCCCUCUCUGGAUGCUUGCCGCGUGGACAAAUUUGACACCAUCACUCUGAUCCAGCAGGAGCUGCACUUGUUCAAGGACG